rnacentral:lncRNA from 1 species
UUUAUUGGUAAUUCGGUACUCCUAUAUUUAAGGAGGAACACAUUCACAUAAUUUCUCAAUACAAGCUGCAUGGGUAGGAGGUGUACACGGGAAGAAAUCACAUUCAUAUUGAUUUCUACAUGUUUCAACAAGACCUUUGUUGUCGAAAAUUGGGGUUGGAGUUUGGUUUCUACUAUCAACGUCGAAAUUUGUCUGCGAUUUUGCAAAUUGAACCGGUGAGGCUGCAAUAGCACAAAUACAUGUUUACAUUAUUGUCCAUUCUCCAAAAGUUUAUGAAACAUAUAAGGAACAUCAUAAGCCUUAUUUGUGUGAUAUAUAUAUAUAUAUAUAUAUAUAUAUAUAUAUAUAUAUAGAGAGAGAGAGAGAGAGAGAGAAUAACUAUAGUGAACACGAAUUUGAUGAAAAACAAUUUAAUGUGUUAAGAUGCUUGGGCCGUAAACUCCAUAUCAUGGGCAGUAAACUCAAUCUAAAGUGUUAAGAUGCCACUUAAACACAUCAUAAGCCAUGGAUUAAAGUCUAGAAGCAACCACAAUCGAUUUAGGGGCCUUAAACAUGAUGAAAACCAAACCUUACAUGGUAUAAGACUAUAAACGCUAAGGGGCCAAAGUGCUCUGAACUAAAAUUAUACUUCAAAAUAUAAGUAUUUUCAAAAUAUACAAGUAUACCUAACCGUCGAGAUUCGUAACUAUAAGUAGAACAAAACAUAAGUGAAUGGGUGUUGUACGCUGCGGUUAAACCUGGGCAGUUAUGUAGUAGUGUCUAGGGUCAAUAUAGCCUGAUCAACUAUAUAUUCAUUCGAGACACGGCCAACAUGUGCUUGGGAGUGACUGUGGUAUGCAGCAUGCCUAAAACUUACCCAAUACCCAAACAUCGAGCCAUUGUCGUAGCGAAUCAUGAAAUACUAUGGGAGUAUUUCUCGAGCCAAUCCGUUGUAGAAAUCCUUAUUUAAGCGUUGCUCCUUGAUCAUUCCUUUAGCGAUAAUUUAUUUGCUUUGAUAACUCUUUCCUGCUUUAUCGCUUAACAGGAAUAUAUAUAUCUGUCAUAUCUCUUGAUUCAAUUCAGAGGACUUACCAUCCUCUUUUUCCUGAUCUUUUUAGAUCAGGAUGCCUGCAAGAAAGAGACCCAGCUCAAAGACCAAUAACCCUCCGCCACCACCUCCUCCUGAAUUUGACCUUGUGAUGUUCCAGGCAGCUAUUACUGCCGCAGUAGCAGCUGCUAUGUCUCAAAUGAACUCCGGUGUUUCCGAUGGUUCAGGAGGUGGUACCCAAACUCAAAACAAAGAAGGUAGCCAGGGACAACGAAGGGAGUGUUCCUAUAAAGAUUUCAUGAACGCAAAACCCACAUCCUUCGAUGGCAUUGGAGGUGUCGUUUCCCUCACCCGAUGGUUCGAGAAAAUCGAAUCUAUCUUUGAAAUCUGUGCCUACUAUGAUUCUGACGAGGUGAAGUGUGCCGCCUGUAACUUCAUCGAUAAAGCCCUGACUUGGUUGAAUGGCCGAGUCAAAUCCCUAACCCUACGUGUAGCCAAUGCUAUGGGUUAGGAAGCCAUGAAAGAACUUCUGCUGGUGGAGUACUGCCCUCGGGGCAAAAUACAAAAGCUGGAGCAUGAACUCUGGAACCUAAAGAUGAAGGGUUCCGAUAUCGCCGCUUAUACUUCCAGAUUCGAUGACCUGGCGCUACUCUGUCCGGGAUUUGUUACCCCGAAGAGUAAAAAGAUCGAGAGAUUCAUCUGGUGGAUGACCCAAUUGACCAAAGGAAAUGUCUUAGUUGCGAGGCCAGAUACAUAUGACAGCGCCAAAAGUUUAGCCCAGACUCUGAUUGACCAUAGUGAUGAUCACGAGGAAGCAACCACUACUCCUGAACCGACCAAGAGGAGUGGUGAGAAAAGAAAGUUUUGGAAGAAAAAGAAGAGUCAGCCUUCUCAACGAUCCUCAAAGAAACAACAGACUAUAGCAGUCCAUGCUGCUACUAUCCCUACUGCUGCUGCUUCAGCCAUGGGAUCCACAGCACAAACACCUACUUGUCGGUAUGCUGGUAACCUUCCCCAAUGCGACCAGUGUAAAUACCACCGUAACCUCGGCCCCUGCCGUGAACUGUCAUGCACCAACUGUGGUAAAAAGGGGCAUACGAUUCGAUUCUGCAAAGCACCAGCCCAAUCAGCCAAUCAAUCUUCUGGAGCAGGUGUUGGUCGGGCCUGCUACAAUUGUGGAGAAAUCGGGCAUUUCAAGAGGAACUGCCCCAAGAAGGCGACCACUGAUAACACUGGGAGAGUCCUAGCUAUGGAACGAAAAGAGACAGUCGCUGAUCCUACCAUUGUUUCGGGUACAUUCCUUCUCGACAACUCUUAUGCUAGUAUCCUAUUCGAUUCAGGUGCUGAAAGAAGUUUUGUUAGCCAUUCAUUCAAACAUAACCUUAAACAAAAUCCCCAAUCAUUAACCGAAACGUUUACUGUCGAGAUGGAUAACGGUGAGAAAGAAACUGCUAGUGAUAUAUUCAUAGGUUGUGCCCUUACCCUGAACGAUCAUUCAUUUCCCAUCAAUCUUAUGCCAGUUUCAAUAAAGAGCUUCGAUGUUAUCAUUGGCAUGGAUUAGUUGAGUCCCAAUCAUGCUGAUAUCCUUUGCUACAAAAAGGCAAUCCAUCUCAAUCUUCCUGCGGGUCAAACUUUCAUGAUCUAUGGCGAUAAGCUUAGCUCCAAUCUUCGCAUCAUUUCCUACAUCAAAGCUCAAAAACUUUUGCGAAAGGAGUGCCAAGCAUUCCUAGCUCAUGUAAUCAACGAGAAACAGGAAGUUAAAGACCUCGAGAGCAUCCCCGAAGUCUGCAACUUUCCUGAUGUCUUUCCCGAAGUCUGCAACUUUCCUGGAGCUACCCCCGUAGCCAAAUCUCCGUAUCGCUUAGCUCCAGCAGAAAUGCAGGAGUUAUCCAGUUAACUCAAUGAGUUGCUCAGCAAAGGGUUCAUCAAACCGAGUUCCUCACCCUGGGGAGCUAUGGUAUUGUUUGUGAAGAAGAAAGAUGGAUCCUUUCGGAUGUGUAUCGACUACCGUGAGCUGAACAAGUUGACCGUCAAAAACCGAUAUCCUCUUCCGCGAAUAGAUGAGCUCUUCGACCAAAUCCAGGGAGCCAACUACUUCUCAAAUAUAGACCUUCAGUCAGGGUACCAUCAGCUAUGAGUUCAUGAGAGUGAUGUUUCCAAGAUGUAACGCCUGCAGAUCCAGGUUAGUCAAUUUAGAGGCGAUAAGUGUCGAAAACGACUUUUCAACAAAAGAUUAUUUAUAAUAAAUAGUCUUAACCAAGUUGUAGAAUAUGUAUCAAGGUUUCCGAACAUAUAAAGAACACCGAAAUCCGAGUUAUAACGAAGAAAUUAUAACCUGUCGAAGUUUUACGACGGAACCGACAUGAUACCGGGAAGCGUAAAUAGUGAAUUUACGAUAGAGCGAGAUUCAGCCUUAGCGAUCUAAACGAAAGUCAUAGAAUAUGUUAAACUAAGAACAUCGAUAAAAAGAAUGCCCAAAUCUGACUUCAUAUGAAGAAGUUAUGAUUUUUCGAAGUUUCGGACCAGCAGUGUAUAGCCCGAAAUUCUAAUAUUAGAUCGAGCGGUUUUUAGCCGACACGACCUGAACGAGAAUCGAAGAUCUCGUUAAGAGUAGCGUAACGAGAAAAAGAUGGGCGAAAACGGACGUUAGAUGAAGAAGUUAUGAGAAUUUAACGAACCAAUCCUGUCUGGGUCUGUUAGUAAUAUAAAAUUUAAAAUCGAGUCAAAAUUAGCCGACGAAGUCUAAACGAAAGUUGUGGAGCAUAUUCCCACCUUCGCAUGGAUAUAAAUAAUGUUGAAAACGGAGGUCGUACACGAAUGUUAUGAAUUUUUAAAGUUGACUUUGCAAAUUGCAAAAUCUGAUGUAAGAUAGAUGACGUGGCCUCAUCACAGCCGUCCAUCGCCAAUCACAGAGCGCCCUUCGGAUCACGCCACAUGGCCUCGCUUCGCCUUACGCCCCGCGUCGGAGUUCGGUACGCCCAUCGUACCAUCGGUCCUUAUCCUCUUCCGAAGUGCGAGCCAGCUGGUGCGAGCUGGCAACCCUAUCCGAACUACGCCCAGCGUAGCUGCUGAACGCGCAACGUAGUCCGAGCUGCUGAGCGCCUAUAAAAGGCUGCGAAGAUUUUCGAGUUUUCACACAAUUUUCCUUCUCUCUCUAGAUUUCUUUCUCUCUCUCUAGCCUAUUUUGGGCCCCCUAAACCCUACAUAAACUCCUUAGCUCUCGAGGGAAGCCCCGAGGCUCCCGGAGUCCCGAGAAAAAGAGCCUUUCAGUUUCGAAACGUGGCUCCAACUAAGUUCUGGUUUUAGAUAAUAUUCGCUGUAAGUGUGCUACGCUUACACAAUUUUUAAUAUAGCUUUCAAAUAAUUAUAGGAAUGUUAUUAGGUCCUUAAAAUAAUUAUUUGGGCUAUUAUUAUGAGUUAUAUUGAGUGUUAUUAACGCUUAAUAAUAGUCAGACUAAUUAAUUUGUCGCGGUUAUCGUUAGACUAAACCCUAGUGGUAUUGGUACUAGGUUUUAUCGAAGGAAAAUCGUUUUGAGAGUAUCGAAGCGUUGUCUGAGUGCUGAGUCAUCACCUUUCAGGUGAGUGCAUGGUCCCCUUCAACUUACACAUAGAUAUGAAGUAUUUACUACGUGCUAUGUGUGCAUAUUGUCUGUUUACUUGCUGUCUAUGCUCGGUGAACGAUUUUAUACAUGUUUUAAAUGAUUUAAACUGUAUAUAUAUUUUAUAUCUACGAAAAUGUUGGGGUAAGACAUGGGUAGAUGUAAUAGAUGAAAUAUGAGUUGGAUGAUGAGUUGAGAGGAAAAAUAGACUGUGGGGUGAGGGUGACAAGUGGACGAUGUGAGAAGCCUUUUUUCCCAAAUGACGGCCCCCGUCAUUCAGCAGAGUAUGGAUGACAACCACGGACUAUUCUAGACAGUCCAGUGGAACACUAGUAGGCUCGCAACCUGUAGGUGUUGUGAACGAUGUGUUCACUGGUGUACUCUAAAAACCCAUUAAUAUGUAUUGCGAGUGGACUCUCGAAAACGAUACUGUCAAUAAAACCCGAAAGAAGCGCCUAAAGGACUCUACUGGCAAAAGCGCCUAAUAGAGAACCUCAUAACCCCGGCAGAUGCACCUAAAGGACUAUUUCGGCAGAUGCGCCCCAUAGAGAAUGUCACAAUUUUGGUAGUUGCGCCCUAGUGACAGGAGUAGCAGGUUGUGCUUCAUAGAUGUGUCAUUUANGGACUUCAUGUUGUUUCCUUAGGAUGAUCCUUAGGAAUGAAUGAAUGAGAAAUAGCUGAUUCUUAGGGUAGAUCCUUAAGAAUAAAGAAGAUAAUGGGGAUGGGUAAUUGGGUUGAUUGUUUGAUUGUUUAAACAUAAUAAUUAUAUUAUUGUGGGUUGAAAACCCUAUGUACUCACCAGGUUUCCCAACCUGACCCACUCAGUUUAUUUAUAUCACAAGUGUUGAUAUGAAGUGACAUUACACUGAGAGAUUUAAAGAGAUGUAGAUCACUAGUGUAAAUAAUUGUAAAUUCUGUUUAUGCUUAUGUUUCUAUAUUAACGAUGACAUCCCAAACGUUUCAAAAUGAAAUAAAUACGUUUCUUCGAAAAUAUUUUAAUAACGUAUUUAUCAUGUUUUUCUGGGAACAAAUUCCGCAACAUUUUUAUUAAAAGAAGUACUCUGAUUUUUAUAAAGCAUAAACAAAAUCGAUCUUUUCUGGCCGUGAAAUGGGGAUGUCCCAGUUGGUAUCAGAGCAUUAGUUUAAGCGAACUAGGAAUAUGGAUUUAUUUCUAGACUUAAACUUAGAAUGCUAAGCGAUGAUUGUGAGGUUUGAGCACUAGAUUAUUUUAGGAAUUGUGCCUAAAAUGUUUUGAUGUGCUAAAUGCUUGUUCCUGAUAUGCUGUUAUUUGUUCGGAUCUAUGGUCUGUUGCCGACCGGAUCUGGAAACCUUAUGUGUUAAGGAUUCUAAUCGUUUAAAUACGAUAUUAGAACUAGCAUAUAAAUGUUUCGGGGUGAUAAGGAUGAUUGAAACGUCAAUCCUAAAUAAAGAUCUAGAAUCACCUUAUUCGGUGUAUAGAUCAAGAUGGUAAGGACCCGUAGUGGAAACGCGAAUGCAAAUGGGAACCGAGAUCAACCCUAGUGAUUGAGCAAUUACCGAUUGUGGUAGCCGCUGCUGAGCCAAUAACGAUGGCCGGAAUGUAAGCGAUGAUCCAGGCAAUGUUGGAUCGUUAAAUGGAGGAAACCAAACGUUUGCUCCAGCAAAAUUGAGAGGAAGCGACCAUUCAGAUCGAACAGUCCGAGUUGAACGAAGGGCGGACUGAGGAGGGAAACUAUAGUGGGACUGUUGGUGAAGCCAACCCACCGAUAGUUAGGAAAAACCACGAGGGUGGAGGAAAUGAUGGACAUGGAUGCAAAUACAAGGAUUUCAUGGCGUCCAAACCACCGAGGCUAUCAGGAAGCCUGACGCCGGUGGAAGUCAUGAACUAGAUCUCUGAGACGGAGACGAUGUUUGAGAUUUGCGAGUGUAGCAACAAGCAGAAGACCGCUCUCGCGGUUCCUCUGUUGAAAUCUGGAGUACUAAGCUAGUGGAAGCUACUGGCUGAUGCAAUGCACAAAGGUGAAGCAAGCAAGAUGUCAUGGGAGGAUUUUCUGGUGCAGUUGAAGAUGCAAUACUGCUCUGAGCAGGAUCUUCUGGAGAUCACCAAUGAAUUCCAUAAUCUGAAGAAGGGAAGAAUGAGCGUUACUGAAUAAGUUGCAAGCUUUACUGAGAAAAUAAAGCUUGUUCCUCACCUCGUCCCAACUGAACUCUCCAAGGUUAACAAAUUUGCCCUCGGAUUACCAGCGGACUUUGGUCCAAUGGUCAAGCAAAAUACCACUCUGAAAGCCGCCAUCUGGGCUGCUAAAAAUGUGGAGACCCAGCUACGAGAGAAGAGUCUGGAGAGAGCAGAGGUGGGAGAGAAAAGGAAAAUUGAAGGAUCUUCAAAUUCCAACGAGAAGAGAAAAUUCUCGAAGAAGUUCGAAAGAGGAGGAGGAAGUGAGGAAAGAUGGUGCGAGAAGUGCAAAAAGAAACACUCUAGAAAAUGCGGUGAGGAGGUGACUUGUUUCAAGUGUGGGAAGCAUGGGCAUUAUGCCAACGAAUGUAAAUUCAACAAAAGAGUGUGUUACGAAUGUAAUGAGGAAGGGCACUUCAAGAAAGAUUUCCCAAAGAGAGAAGGGGCUACAAAGCCAAAUGUGCCGCUAAAGCCAAAGGCAAGAGCAUUUCAAAUGAUCAUUGACGAAGCAGCUGACGAUGCAAGGAAUCAAGAGUAAGGAUGGAUAUAUAGAGAUCGAGUUAUGAAGAAGCCAUAUAAAUAGUGUCAUAUGAUGUAGCCUAUUAAAUGCAUAAUCUAGGAUGAACUUGAACACCCAUGUAAUCGUUUCAAGUAAUAAAAUAAAAACCUUCGUUUUGAUAUUUGAUAUGUUAAGUUGUUAUGUGAUGGUGACUUGGGAAACUGCGGGACAAUACUUGGGACGAGUAUGAGUAGGUGUGAAUGGUAGGAGGCCUAUUNAUUGUGACAACCCAAGUGUUCCCGUUACAUUUUCCCCGUUACCGUUAACGGAAUAUUCCACUGUAUAAAAGUUCUGUUAGUUAGAGGGCGUUAAUUUAAUAAACAUUCCAUUUGUUUAUAAUUAAAAUGCCGUUAAGUCGUGAUAAAAGGAGAUGAAAACACAAGACACACAUUUCCAUUAAAUUGGAAAAUGUCAAGUUUUAUUAUUACGACCACUAAAUCGGGAGCGACCAAAAGCCCCGUUUAACGGCACUAUCGGGUAACAUUCCACUGAGCCCCGACUCAAAACCCUAUAUAAGGGUGAGUGGAGUCCAUUGGAGACUUUUUACACUCUCUCUCUCUCUAUACUCUUUCUCUAGACCCGUUUUCUCCCCGAAUCCGCAACCAAACGCUUCCAAAUUGUAAGUCCGGCUACCCUAGCUUAUUCUAAACAUUAUGAUUCAUGUUUAUAGCCCAAAAAUCGGACAUAGAAGCACUAGAAAAGGAGUUUACGGCCUAAGCCCCUCCUUAGGCCGUAAACACCUAAAACAAGGCCAAAAUGACCCAACCUUGUCCCCAAUGGCUAGGAAAGAAAUUGAGGUAUUAGCUUAGGAGUGUUUAAACACUAAAAUGCUGGGAUUUAGGACUCACAGAAGAGUUUACGGCCCAAGCACUUGCUUAGGCCGUGAACUCCUCAAGUCAUGGUCCCAAAUGCACUCCAAGCUCAUCUUAGGGCUUCAUACAUAAUAUAGGAACUUAUCCUCUUGAGUUUAGACCCUUGAAACACUCCAAAAUGAUUUAUUAAAGGGAUUUUACGGCCCAGACAAGGGUCAAGGCCGUAAACACCCUUAAACAUGCCUAAAAUAAUUGUUUUGUCCCCCAAAUGGCCUUAUACAUUUACCANAUGAAAUACUAGGAGGGGAUUUAAAGGCUUAAACACAAGGAAAUGAGGCAUGACUUGGAGUUUACGGCCCAAGCAUUUAUCUAGGCCGUAAACUCCCCAAAACCCACUCAAAUGAUGGUUUUAAUCCUCCAAAAUAGCAUCAUACUUCAUUAGAAAUCACUAGAAAGGCAUUAGGGGCUUUAAACUUCCCAAAACUCUAAGGAUUAGAGUUUACGGCCGUAAACUCCUUUAGGAGUGGUCCCUUGGCCAUAAACUCAUAGAACAUGCCCUUAGAGGCCUCAAACCCACUCAUGCCUUUUGGGAAAAGUGCUUAGAAUAAUUCAAUGAACAAGUUAGAACCAUAAAACACCCAAGAAUAUACCCUUGGGAGUUUACGGCCGUAAACUCCCUUGAGUUAGGCCGUAAACUCCAAGUUGGUCCAUCUUAAUGCUUUAAACCCAUUCACACACUUGAUAUUUGAGUUUAGCAAAGUUCCACAACUGAUAGGAGACCCUUAGCACCCUUAAACGCUACCCGGGACCCCAAGCACGUAACCAAAAGUGUUUUCCGCUCCUUUGAGCGUUUAUAUUUGUUUAAUUAUAUUAAAUAUACUAAUUGUAUGUGAACAUAUGUUAUCAUAGGUUAAAUAGGUCAUUGUGUGUGUUCAAGUCCUUGCGUGACACUGAACGCCCCAAACGGCACUUUCGUCGGACUACUUACACCNACACCAGGUGAGUUCAUACCCCUGAAUGAACCUUUUAAAUGUUUUUAAAUGUUUUUAUAGGGGGGAAUACAAGUUAAACAUGCCAGUUAUCAUAUUAAUCACAUGUGAUUGAUAACCCGCAUGCACAAGAUUUUACCACUUUACACUGUUUUACCGAGUGGGGCACUAUAAAGAUUUUUACUUAUUACAUAACUUUUACUUAUACUGAUUUAUCCAAAUUCAUUCUAAAUUGGUUAAUGAAAGAUUCUAUAAGGUUUUUUUUAAACAUAUUUUACAAAAGAAUACAAUUCGUGAUUUACUCUGUACAUAAAGGCUUUUCAUUAAAGAUUUCCUUUUCGACGUAUACUUUUACUUGUUCAAUACUGUUGCUUCGCUUAUACUUAUUUCAUACUCCUACUCGGUAACGCUUUCACUUAUACUUGAAGUCACUUAUACCUGAUGACGCUUAUACUUAUUCACACUCUUACUUAGUGAUACGGUUCUACCUCACUUAUACUUGAUAUCGCCUUUACCUCACUUAUACUUGAUAUCACCUUUACUUCACUUAUACUUGAUAUCGCCUUUACUUCACUUAUACUUGAUACGCUCUUACUUCACUCAUUGUCAUCUCUACUUCGUGAUACGCAUAUACUUAUUCGACACUCUUACUUCACUUGCGACCGCUCUUACUUCACUUGUUAGACACUCCUACUUCACGAGAAUCACUUUUACUUGAUACCCACUCAGUUGUAGUUAGAUGUAUGUCUGUGUUGGGAUAGAUGCAUAUAAAUAAUGAUUGAAGGACUUAGGAAGGUUUGUCCGCCCUAUUUCCUUUUCUUCGUUGAGAUGUGGUCUGGUGGGAUCAGAUGUCCAUCCGAAGGUCGUUUGAUUUAUUAUUUAUAUACUAUGUACACAAGCAUAGACAUAUAGGUUACUGCAGUCAGUUCAGUUAUGAGUCUCUACCUUUAGUUCAACACUUACAUUAGAAACCCACUAGUUGGAAGUCUCUACCCACUAUUUGGGAUGCAUCUUCAGGACACGGCCUUCUCCGUCGUCUAGUUGGUAACCAGAGUCUCCUGUAAGGAGAGCGGACAUUGUGUGUAUAGAUCUAUACGGGAUUGACACCCCCACAUCCUGACUGCUAGCUACAGACCACGACUCACCAAGUUAAGGGGUGACAAAUGUCACAUUAUAUAGAUGCUCGUAGGGCGUCUGGUAUCUAGUGUCGGUUAGUAUGGUUACGAGUAUUCCGGGUUACCUUAUAAUUCAUGGCCUUAAGGUAACGGUAUUUCGCCAGCAAUUUACACUGUAUGCUGGUAGCUCAUUUUCAGAGUCACACUGUUUUGACCCUACAAGACGUAUCUUACAUUUAAAUGUUGUCUGGGGUCUGUAUCCACUGUAUUCACAGAAUCCACUGUAUUCAUUAUGUUCACCGCAUUCAUUGUUUUAGACCCUGCUAGACGUGUCUUUCAUUUGAUAUCGUCUGUGGUCUGUAUUCACUGUUUUGGACCUUACCAGCUGUACCUUUCAUUUGGUACCUUCUGGGAUCUGUGUCUCUAUUUGUUAGACUGAACCAGGCGUGUCGUUCGUUCGAUACUCUCCUGGAGUCUAUGAUUCUUUGCCUUAGUCAGCAGUCCUCAUUGCUGAGGCAUAUGUUAUUCCCUGAUGACAUUCGCUUUCCGCAAUAAUCAGAUUCAGUAUUUUGAUAAAGAUAGCAAUUUACGGAAAAUAACUUUUUACCACAUAACACUGACCAGUCUUGGUAGAAGGCUGCUUUGAUUAAAGAAAAUAUAGGAUUUUUUGGAAAGAACUCUAAUACACUGUAAACACUUAAAUUAUUACUUUAUAAAGUUAUUUAAAUGAAAUGUCACUAAAUACUUAUGAACUCACCAGCAUUUGUAAAAAUGCUGAUACUCGCUUUUCAAAUAACUUGUAUUCUCAGGUUAGCAUUAGACAAGUACAUCCCAGGAGUAGUUGACGAAGAUAGCUUAUUACCUCGAUGUACUUAUUAUAUUUGUCUGUAUUACUUUGAUGUAUUUUAAUAUAACCAUGUAAAAAUUAUUACUAUUAAUACAAUGUUCUGUUGUACUUCGGUUACUAUAUGCAUGUGUUGUGAUACUUGACAUGAAGUCAUCCAACCCAGAACGUUUCCGCCGUUCCGGUUAUGGGGUGUGACACCUAUACUACCGGAAGCACAAGACUCACACUUGGAUCAGGGAAAGUCACAAGGUUACCAAGAAGCUAGUAAUUGAUUUCGUUCUAUUGAAGUAUGUCGUUACCAUUGUUUCGGUAAUGACUAAGAAAAUUGUUGUUAUCCCGACCCUAGUGGUCAUAUCACAUUAAGUCCGACUACGAUGAGUAGGUUACGUGGUUCAGAGAACCAAUUUUGAUGUAGCGUCCGAUUUAAACCAAACGAUUGAAAUCCAAGCGAUCAUUAGAAGUAUCGUGCUCAUUGUUAAAGAAGUUGGUAGCUAGAAAUGAUACAUGUUAAAAUGUGAUUAUAUCACAUUAGACCAUGAAGGAAGGGAUAUUCCAUUCCGGAAUUUGACUCUUAGAGACCUGAGUCUAAGCGUUGCUACAUACGAUGAUAGGUCAUUAGAAUAUGACACAUCGAUCCAUAGUAGUAAUAAAAGAACAUAUCUCAAGUUUGUAUCCAGUGAGGAUCAAGAUUGUGACUUGAAAGUCAUAAUUUGGAGUCUAGCAUGAGGUAGAGAGCAGGUGCACGAUCAAGUACUGCCUACAUUCGAUAAGUCUAAGAGAUAGACUUGAAGGAAUAUAGAUGUUAUAAGUAUUACCUAAAAUGAAGUGAUGACGUAUGGAGUCAUUAUAUGACCCUGUUUCGUUGAUGAUUCUGCGACGUAAUCAUCCUAAGGGGGAGAUAAUUGUAACGCCCGCAGCUCCGGGUUAGUCAAUUUAGAGGCGAUAAGUGUCGAAAACGACUUUUCGACAAAAGAUUAUUUAUAAUAAAUAGUCUUAACCAAGUUGUAGAAUAUGUCUCAAGGUUUUCGUACAUAUAAAGAACGCCGAAAUCCGAGUUAUAACGAAGAAGUUAUGGCCUGACGAAGUUUUACGACGGAACCGGCACGAUACCGGGAUGCGUAAAUAGUGAAUUUACGAUAGAGCGAGAUUUAGCCUUAGCAAUCUAAAAGAAAGUCGUAGAAUAUGUUAAACUAAGAACAUCGAUAAAAAGAACGCCCAAAUCUGACUUCGUGUGAAGAAGUUAUGAUUUUUCGAAGUUUCGGACUAGCAGUGUACAACCCGAAAUUCGAAUAUUAGAUCGGGCGGUUUUUAGCCGACACGACCUGAACGAUAAUUGAAGAUCUCGUUAAGAGUAGCGUAACGAGAAAAAGAUGGACGAAAACGGACGUCGGAUGAAGAAGUUAUGAGAAUUUAACGAACCAAUCUUUUCCCGACCUGUUAAUAAUAUAAAAUUUAAAAUCGAGUAAAAAAUAGCCGACGAAAUCUAAAUGAAAGUUGUAGAGCACAUUCUCACCUUCAUGUGGAUAUAAAGAACGUCGAAAACGGAGCUCGUAUACGAAAGUUACAAAUUUUUAAAGUUGACUAUGCAAAUUGCGAAAUCUGAUGCGAGACAGAUGAUGUGGCAUCAUCGCAGCCGUCCAUAGCCGAUCACAGAGCACCCUUCGGAUCACGCCACGUGGCCUCGCUUUGCCUUACGCCCCGCGUCGAAGUUUGGUACGCCCAGCGUACCCUCGGCCCUUAUGCUCUUCCGAAGUGCGAGCCAGCUGGUGCGAGCUGGCAACCCUAUCCGAACUACGCCCAGCGUAGCAGCUGAAUGCGCAACGUAGUCCGAGCUGCUGAGCGCCUAUAAAAGGCUGCGAAGAUUUCCAAGUUUUCACACAAUUUUCCUUCUCUCUCUAGAUUUCUUUCUCUCUCUCUCUCUAGCCUAUCUUGAGCCCCCUAAACCCUAGAUAAGCCCCUUAGCUCUUGAGGGAAGCCCCGAGGCUCCCGGAGUCCCGAGAAAAAGAACCUUUCGGUUUCGAAACGCUGCUCCAAUUAAGUUUCGGUUUUAGAUAAAAUUCGCUGUAAGUGUGCUACGCUUACGCAAUUUUUAAUAUAGCUUUCAAAUAAUUAUAGGAAUGUUAUUAAGUCCUUAAAAUAAUUAUUUGGGCUAUUAUUAUGAGUUAUAUUGAGUGUUAUUAACGCUUAAUAAUAAUCAGACUAAUUAAUUUGUCGUGGUUAUCGUUAGACUAAACCUAGUGGUAUUGGUAUUAGGUUUUAUCGAAGGAAAAUCGUUUUGAGAGUAUCGAAGCGGUGUCCGAGUGCUGAGUCACCACCUUUCAGGUGAGUGCAUGGUCCCCUUCAACUUACACAUAGAUAUGAAGUAUUUACUACGUGCUAUGUGUGCAUACUAUCUGUUUACUUGCUGUCUAUGCUCGGUGAACGAUUUUAUACAUGUUUUAAAUGAUUUAAACUGUAUAUAUAUAUUUUAUAUCUACGAAAAUGUUGGGGUAAGACAUGGGUAGAUGUAAUAGAUGAAAUAUGAGUUGGAUGAUGAGUUGAGAGGUAAAAUAGACUGUGGGGUGAGGGUGAGAGGUGGACGAUGUGAGAAGCCUUUUUUCCAAAAUGACGCCCCGUCAUUCAGCAGAGUAUGGAUGACAACCACGGACUAUUCUUGACAGUCCAGUGGAACACUAUUAGGCUCGCAACCUGUAGGUGUUGUGAAUGACGUGUUCACUGGUGUACUCUAAAAACCCAUUGAUAUGUAUUGAGAGUGGACUCUCGAAAACGAUACUGUCAAUAAAACCCGACAAAAGCGCCUAAAGGACUCUAUUGGUAGAAGCGCCUAAUAGAGAACCUCAUAACCCCGACAGAUGCGCCUAAAGGACUAUUUCGGCAGAUGCGCCCCAUAGAGAAUGUCACAAUUUUGGUAGUUGCGCCCUAGUGACAGAAGUAGCAGGUUGUGCUUGAUAGAUGUGUCAUUUACAACGAUGGAAUUCAUACCUAUUCCUUAGGAUACUCCUUAGGAAUGAAUGAACAAGAAAUAGCUGAUUCUUAGGGUAGAUCCUUAAGAAUAAAGAAGAUGAUGGGGAUGGGUAAUUGGGUUAACUUUUUGAUGAUUAAACAUAAUAAUUAUAUUAUUGUGGGUUGAAAACCCUAUGUACUCACCGGGUUUCCCAACCUGACCCACUCAGUUUAUUUAUAUCACAGGUGACGAUAUGAAGUGACAUUACACUGAGAGAUUUAUGGAGAUGUAGAUCACCAGUGUAAAUAAUUGUAAGUUCUGUUUAUUCUUAUGUUUCUAUAUUAACGAUGACAUCCCAAACGUUUUAAAAUGAAAUAAAUAUGUUUCUUCGAAAAUGUUUUAAUAACGUAUUCAUCAUGUUUUUCUGGGAACAAAUUCUGCAACAUUUUUAUUAAAAGAAGUACUUUGAUUUUUAUAAAGCAUAAACAAAAUCGGUCUUUUCUGGCCGUGAAAAUGGGGAUGUCACACUAGACAGCAUUCAGGACUUGAUACGGACACUACGACUUCGUAGUGAUCCCUUCGGUUUAACCAACGCAUCGGCUGUGUACAUGAACCUGAUGAACCGGGUGUGUCGCCUUUUUCUGGACAAGUUCAUCAUUGUGUUCAUUGAUGACAUACUUGUCUACUCUAGAAGCAAAGAAGAUCACAAACAACACCUGAGGUCAGUGUUGGAAACCCUUAGAUCUGAAAAGCUAAACGCGAAAUUUUCCAAGUGUGAAUUCUGGAUUCGGAAGGUAACUUUCCUCGGUCAUGUGGUAAGCGAAGAGGGUAUUCACGUGGAUCCUUCCAUGAUCAAAGCGACAGAGAAUUGGUCGACACCGAAAACACCCACAGAAAUCCGUCAAUUCUUGGGUCUCGCUGGCUAUUAUCGGAGAUUCAUCCAGAAUUUUUCCAGAAUCGCCAAACCCUUAACCACUCUAACAUAGAAAGGUGUACCCUUUUGUUGGAAUGAAAAGCAAGAGACUGCGUCCAAACAUUAAAGCAAGCCUUGCGCAAUGUACCUGUUAUGUCCCUGCCCGAAGGGACAGAGGACUUCGUUGUCUAUUGUGAUGCGUCUAAUCAGGGCUUACGCUGUGUGCUUAUGCAAAGAGGAAAAGUUAUUGCUUAUGCCUCGAGACAGCUGAAGGCACACGAGGUCAACUAUACCACCCACGACCUGGAGUUAGGUGUCGUAGUCUUUGCAUUGAAGAUUUGGAGACAUUAUCUCUACAGAACCAAGUAUACGAUCUUCACUGACCAUAAGAGCCUGCAACACAUCUUCAAUCAAAAAGACUUAAACAUGAGGCAACGAUGAUGGGUAGAGCUACUCAGUGACUAUGAGUGCGAGAUUCGCUACCAUCCCGGCAAGGCCAAUGUGGUAGCAGAUGCCCUUAGCCGAAUGGAAAGUUCAAGCCGUAAAGUGAGGACACUGACGAUGACUAUUCAUUCCCAUUUAUCCAUACGGAUCUGAGACGCCCAGUUAGAAGCCCUCAAACCAGAGAACGUGUCAAGCGACGCCUUGAGGGGAAUGGAUAAGAAACUUGAGAACAGAGGUGACGGAGUCUACUGUUUUAUGGACCGAAUCUGGACCCCAAAGUUCGGAGGAUUCAGGGAGGUUGUCAUGGAGGAAGCACACAAGACCAGAUACUCUGUUCACCCGGGUUCGGGUAAGAUGUACCUGAAUCUCAAGAAACAAUACUGGUGGCCAAACAUGAAAGCCAAGAUUGCUACAUUUGUGGCCAAGUGCUUGAAUUGCACCAAGGUGAAAGUCGAGUACCAGAAACCUUCGGGUUUGCUCCAGCAACCUGAGAUACCCAAGUGGAAAUGGGAGAUAAUUACCAUGGAUUUCAUCACCAAGUUACCCAAAUGUCUGAGUGUGUACGAUACCAUUUGGGUAAAUGUCGAUCGUUUGACAAAAUCCGCUCACUUCAUUCCGAUCAAAGAAUCAUUCAAGAUAGAAAGACUCACGCGAAUCUACAUCCAAGAGGUAGUUCGACUNAUUGCACCAAGGUGAAAGUCGAGUACCAGAAACCUUCGGGUUUGCUCCAGCAACCUGAGAUACCCAAGUGGAAAUGGGAGAUAAUUACCAUGGAUUUCAUCACCAAGUUACCCAAAUGUCUGAGUGUGUACGAUACCAUUUGGGUAAAUGUCGAUCGUUUGACAAAAUCCGCUCACUUCAUUCCGAUCAAAGAAUCAUUCAAGAUAGAAAGACUCACGCGAAUCUACAUCCAAGAGGUAGUUCGACUGCACGGUGUACCUACGUCGAUUAUCUCUGAUCGAGAUAGCAGGUUUCCCUCCAUAUUUUGGCAGUCUCUUCAGAAGGCUCUUGGAACUAAACUAGACAUGAGCAUGACUUAUCAUCCUCAGACCGAUGGACAAAGUGAGAGAACUAUCCAAACCCUGGAAGACAUGCUGAGAGCAUGUGUCAUCGAUUUCAGAAAGUCGCGGGACACACAUUUGCCUUUGAUCGAGUUCUCGUACAACAACAGUUACCACACCAACAUCAAGGCUACUCCGUUUGAAGCCCUCUACUGUCACAAGUGCAGAUCCCCUCUGUGCUAGGCCGAGGUAGGGGACACGCAGCUAGCUAAGAGUUGAGUCCCCGACAGUGCUCUCACGGGUACUAAAAUCAUUCAUGAAACCACCAAAAAGAACAUCCAAAUUCGGGAACGAGUGAAAGAUUCACAAGAUAGACAAAAGAGUUACGCUGAUAAUCGACGGAAACCUCUGGAGUUCCAGGUUGGAGACCGUGUCCUAUUGAAGGUCUCGCCCUGGAAAGGCACAGUACACAUUGGAAAGCGUGGGAAACUUAACCAAAGGUACAUUGGACCUUUUGAGAUCCUCGCCAGGAUCGGUCCUGUAGCCUAUAAACUUCGAUUACCCCAUGAGCUUAGUAACAUCCAUCCUGUAUUCCACGUCUCGAAUCUUAAAAAGUGUUUAACCGAUGAAACCCUUGUGAUCCCUCUGGACGUGAUUGAGAUCAACGAAAACUUGAACUUCGUGGAGGAACCGAUCGAAAUCAUGGAUCGAGAGAUCAAACAUAUGAAUCAAAGCUGCAUCCCGAUCAUAUAGGGAUUUGAUAUUGAACUAUUGGUGGCCCUGCAUGAAGCGGGAGAUAGUCGGGUUUGUGGAGCAGUGCUUAACCUGUAGGAAGGUCAAGGUCGAGCAUCAGUGACCUCAAUGCAAGGUUUAGCCAUUACCUAUUCCCAUGUGGAAGUGGGAAGAGAUCACUAUGGAUUUCCUCACGAAGCUACCACGGACAACGAGGGGAGUAGAUGCCAUAUGGGUGAUUGUGGAUAGACUGAAGAAGAGUGCCCAAUUCAUUCUGAUCUCCGAGGGUAUAUCUGCAAAGAAGUUGGCGAACAUCUAUGUUCGAGAGGUGGUUGCUAGGCACGGAGUGCCGAUAUUAGUGGUUUCUAAUAAGGAUGUUCGGUUUACAUCCAGAUUUUGGAAAAAAUUCCACAAGGAACUGGGUACUCAACUGCAUUUUAGUAUAGCAUAUCACCCCAGACCGACGACCAGAGUAAGAGGACGAUCCAGACACUGGAGGAUAUGUUGCGGGCAUGUGUGCUGGAUUUCGGAGGAAGUUGUAAUACCUACCUCCUACUGCCAGAGUUUCCGUACAAUAACAAUUGUCAUGCCAGUAUUGACCGAGCACCAUUCGAGAUGUUAUAUGGGCGGAGUUGCAGGACCCAGUAUGCUGAGACGAUGUUGAGCAUCGGGUCUUGGGGAGCACGGAGGUGGUACUCGAUACCACCAGAAUGAUUCAGCAGGUGCACAACCGGUUGCGAGUCGCGCAAAGCCGUCAGAAGAGUUAUGCGGACCGACGGCGAUCGGACCUCGAAUUUCAGGAAGGGGGCCUUGUCUUACUAAAGGUGUCGCCCUGGAAAGGGAUUAUCUGGUUCCGGAAGAGGGGCAAAUUGGGGCCUCAGUUCAUAGGCCCGUUCAGGAUCAUAGCCCGGGAGGGCAAGGUGGCAUAUCUUUUAGAGCUCCCAGAGGAGCUUAGUCGGAUUCACAACACCUUUCAUGAGUCUCAGCUUCGGAAUUCUGUUGCCGAUGAGUCCUCAGUCAUAUCCUUGGACGACAUACAGUUGGAUGAGAGCCUGAAUUAUGUUGAGAGACCAGUUGCGAUUUUACACAGGAAGACGAAGAAACUCCAGAAUAAAGAAGUGAAGUUGGUAGAGGUGCAAUGGCAGCACCGAAAGGGUUCCGAAUGGACUUGGGAAUCAGAGGAUGAAAUGCGAGGGUUCUAUCCGGAAUUGUUUGGAUCAGGAGGCUUCGAGGAAGAAUCCUAAUUCAAUUGGGGGUGAGUUGUGACUCCCUGAUCCUCAGGUAUUAAUAAUAUUGUAUCUUUUGAGUUUUAAAGGAUCUACUCGAUGAGUUGGUCUCCCUACUCGUCGAGUGGUAGCGGGUUGGUCCGCGAAGUUUAAUGACCUACUCGCCGAGUCCAGAAUGGGACUCAACGAGUAGACGCUGGCGGAUGAACCCUAAAUUUCGGGGUUUGCACCCUAUUUAAAGGGUCAUUAGCCUCCCCCAUCCUCUCCUUUAUAGCUUCUUGUCUCCCUUAAACCCUUAUUCGAGUGUGUGUGUGUCCUUUGGUGAGUUUAAGCUUGAAGGAAAAAAUUGGUGAAGGAAACACUUGAAGUAACAAGCUAGAGGAAGCAAAGCAUUCAUGGGGUUCAAGAUCUACUUCAGUGAAGCAUUCUCUAAAGGUGUUAUUCUGUUUCCCUUGGCUCGUUUCCACCCAAAACCCUUUUUUGCAUGGGUUCUAAGAAAAGGGUUUUUGUGCUUAAGCCAAGAUCUGAAGUUGUAACUUCAAAUCUGGACUCCCUUUGGCCUCUAGGUUCAUAAAAUUAUCAUUUUUGUCUAGCAUGAGCCUCCCCUCAAGUGUGUGACUCCAUUUUAAGCUUAGUUUUGCCAUUUUAGGGCCUUAAACCCUUGCAUGCAUGUAAAGUUUGCAACUUUACGUGAAAAGCAUCCCUUAGAAGCUUGGAUCCGUAAUUUGGAAUCGUUGCAUGGCUCAAAAGAGUCUGUAUGGCUUAAGGACUAUAUGGACUCGGGGAGUCGUAAGGGUUGACUCAACGAGUUGGAUGAACAACUCGGCAAGCCCGAUGAACUCUUGACUUGCCGAUGAACAACUCGGCAAGCCCAGGGAUGACUUUGGGGGAUAUGACUGGUUAUUGUAUGACACUGUUUAUGUAGUUAAGUUGGAGCAGCUUGUGGGGUAUAUUUGGUCGCAAAUUGUCAGUUCAACAUUCGUUUCAGGUGAGUCCUCUCCCCGUACCUAUGGGUCUAAGGCACCAAGGCCGGCCCAUUAUGUGAACAUGUUAUGUGUGUGCCAUUCUUUCAUUAAUUGGUAUGUUAUGUAACAUUAUAUUUGCAUGAAAGACCCUGGGGGAGCCCAUGGCAUUGGAUAUAAGACCAUGUGGGGUAGCCCAUGGCAUUCCUAGGUAAAGACCAUGUGGGGUAGCCCAUGGCAUUGGACAUAAGACCAUGUGGGGUAGCCCAUGACAGUCCUAGGUAAAUACAAUGUGGGGUAGCCCAUCACAUUCUUGUUAAAUCGUAUUGCAUAGUUUAUGUGGUAUGUUUAUAGCUUAUUCUUCUAUCAGGAUAUGUGUAUGUGAUUGUGUGUGGUAUGCUCAGCGAAACUCACUAAGCAUUUUGCUUACAGGUUGUUGAUUUGUUUCAGGUACUUUUCAGUCCAAGGGCAAGGGCAAGGCGUGAUGACGUGGCGUGCACUCUACUUCUUUUUACUAAGUUUGGGAUCCUCUGAUGUUUUGAAAGAAGACAAUGAUGUAAUAAAUGACGAUUUGGAAACAAAAGAUUUGGAUUGAAUUAAGAACACGUAGAGUAAAUAUAAUCUGGUUUCGGCUCAUAUUAUGCUUUCACGAUACAAAGAGUUUCAGACAGAGAAUAGCAAUAGUUCUAUCUGGCUUUAGUAUCGUUCCCUAUUUAGAGGAAAACAGAUAGCAUACAAAAAAUACAAAGGACUAAGCAUACAAAAAAUACAAACUAAUGAAGCUACUCUAUGACCUACGACACCUUACAACAAAAUUCGACAUUUACAAUCUCCCUCUUUGUUACAACUGUUCUCCCUCGAAACGGCGCCAAAAACUAGAAAUGCAUAUUUUAUAUUUACAUAUCAUCAUGUUUUAAUUUUUAAAUCUUAAUCUUGUAUGGAUAAACUAAUACACUCGCGGUUGACCUAAUCUUGUAGCAAUAUAGUUUUGGUAAGACCGGAUGUUGAUCUCAAGGAGAAUGAGAUUACUGCAAAUUAAAUUAUGAACAAUAAAGUAAACAAUAUAUUUUUUCUAAGUUUAAUUAAACUUAAUAAAGCAAACACAAAACUAGAGUGUAGUUUUAGAGAUCAAGAUCUUUUCACAUAGAUUUGAAUCUCACAUUUAGGUAUGGUGGAUUCCAAUAAAGUGCAAUUAAUAUUAGUUAUUAUCUAAAAAUUUAUUGUGUAAUAGUUUUGUUGAUCGGAUUUAGUAAAUUGUACAAUUAUAAAGACAAUUAACACAAGCAUCAUGCAACUAACUAUCUAAACAAUUAUAAUUAAGUUCCUAAUGUUUUGUGAAGUUUAAUUUCUAAUUGAAUUCCAAUAUAAAAUAUAUUAAAUGAUCAUAUUUAUUAUUUAUUAUAUUUAUUUCAUAAAUAGUAUGCUCUUAUUUCAUAUUAAUGGAAAGAUAUAUAAAUAAUAGAUAAUAGUUGAAAAUAGUAAAGGGGUGGAUGUACGCGAGUGGAUCAAGGUUGUGGAUUUUGUAUCCCCCAUGCACGUGCUCAGUUCAUGUCAUUCACUCGAAUUUAUUUUUUUAAAUAAUUUAUUCGCUACUAGUAGAUUUUAUUGUUGAAGAUGUCACAGCUUUCUAGUUUUUUUGUUUUGUAAUACAAAGAAAGUAAUUAUAUUUUCUAUAUUAUUUACUACGAAAAAGAAAAACCAAAUUAUCAAUAACUAUCCGUACAUGCAUCCUAAGUAAAUAAAUGUAUUUCUUCAUCAUUUAAGUUAAGCUUAUCAAAUAUGCGGGUGAUACGACUAAACAACUCAAAAGGAACAUACAUAAUCUAUUGUUCUCAUAAAGUAACACCAGAAUAUGAUGUUUUUAUCGGUAAUUCGGUACUCCUAUAUUUAAGGAGGAACACAUUCACAUAAUUUCUCAAUACAAACUGCAUGGGUAGGAGGUGGACACGGGAAGAAAUCACAUUCAUAUUGAUUUCUACAUGUUUCAACAAGACCUUUGUUGUCGAAAAUUGGGGUUAGAGUUUGGUUUCUACUAUCAACGUCGAAAUCUGUCUGCGAUUUUGCAAAUUGAACCGAUGAGGCUGCAAUAGCACAAAUACAUGUUUACAUUAUUGUCCAUUCUACCAAAGUUUAUGAAACAUAUANAUAUAUAUAUAUAUAGAGAGAGAGAGAGAGAGAGAGAGAGAAUAACCUAUAGUAAACAAGAAUAUGAUGAAAAAAAUAAUUUUGAACAAAACAUUCAUCUUAAUUCGUUUUGAGAUGGACUUAUGUUAUGAACAUUAGUAAAUAGUCGUAUGAAAUUUAUAGAGACGAAAGAAAUAUAUAAUCAAUACCAUAAUAAUUACUUAUUGCUAAUUUCCAAAUAUAAAUUUUCAAUUAAAAGGAUUUUCCUAACCAAAACUAACAUUUCAAUUAAUGGUAAUAUUUGUAGAGUUUGAAAGAAAAUUUUCUAUUAAUACUAUAAUGAUUAGUUUUUGGUAAUUUACAAACAUAAAAUUUCAAUAAAAAGACAACUAUAGUAAAACUACAUUUUCAAUUAAUAAUAUAUUAUUUCUUCCAAAUAUAAAUUUUACAAUUAAUCUUAAAUGGCAAAUUUAUAAAUCAUUGAAUAGUAAAAAGUUUCAUAAGGUAUUUUAUUAGUUGUAAUUAUAUUUUGAAUCAAUUGCAUGUAUUUCUAAUAAGACUUGUCUUUGUGUGUGUAUAUGUGAUAUGAUGUGCUAUGUGAGCAUACCCAAUUAAUAAAAAUGUAAACUUUAUCAUUCUCAUUGUCACAUCCUACAAUAUUUAUAGGCUAAUGUUAUAUGUACCCACCCAUUUACAAGGCAUACCCCCACAUUUGAGUAUGUGAAUGUGUGUAUGUGUGUAUGGGACUCUUUAUGUAAAUAAGAGGAUACAUAUAGUAGCACCCAAUUCAUAUUUCGCGAGGAUGUAAUUUUGUAUCAGAAUACAAAAGAAAUUUUACUGUUAUUGCUAAUGGGUUGUAUGCAUUACAACAUUUCUAUGGUGCACAUGCAACCCUACUUGCUUUGGAUCUAGGUUUUCCUCAAGUUAUACAUGCAAGUUGAUUCUCUAAAGCAAAACCUUAAUCUAGCAUACAUAAUUUUGAAAUUCUAAUUCAGAUUAGGGUUUGAAGAAUACCAUUCUUGUUGAAUGCUUGAUGCUAGCCUUCAAGAGCUUAGUGCCUCAAUUUGUGCACCUCUAAUGGAGUCACAAACACCACUAGCAACAAGGCAGAACAAGAGAGAGAGAGAGAGAGAGAGAGAGAGAGAGAGAGGAGAAAGAUUCAAAAAUUGGACAGGGUUUAAUCUAGGGUUCAAGUGUCCGAUUUUAGGAGCAUUGGGGUUCCUUUUAUAGUUGAGGCUUACAAGGGUUUUCAACUGGAAAUCCGAAUUCCCUUUUUAGGCCCUAAGCAGCACAUGGAACCACAAAUGGUAUGCCUUGGACGAAAACUCUAUGGGCUCACCAUAGAUUUUCAUCCAUCAUAUACCAAUAGGAUCCAUUAGCCAAAACUAUAACUAUUAUUGAUUUAGAUAAUCAGUCCCAAUUCUUUAAAUCAGUCUCUUUUGCUCACCAAAUUAAUUCUAAAUUAAUUUUUGACCAAUACUAUUUAAAUAAUAUGAUUUCUCAAUUAAUAUAUUAUGUAGUAGUUAUUUAAUCAAGUAAUGAAACGAGAUCAGAGUUGGAUUGAAUUAAGAAGACAAAGAGUAAAUAUAAUCUUGUUUCAGCUCAUAUUAUGCUUUCACGAUACGAAGAGUUUCAAACAGAAGAAUAGAAAAAGUUCUAUCUAGCUUUAGUAUUGUUCUCUAUUUAUAGGAAAACAAAAAGCAUACAAAAAAUACAAAGGGCUAAGCAUUACAGUUUAGAAACAAUUUGCCUUUGUAAUAAUGUUACAAACUCACGAAGCUACUCCAUGACCUUUAACGCCUUACAACAAAAUUCGACACUUACAAUCUCCCCCUUUGUUACAACUGUUCUCCCUCAAAACGAUGCCAAAAACUUGAAUGAAUAUUUUAUAUAUAAAUAUUAUCAUAUGUUAAAUUUUAAAUUUUAAUCUUCCAUGGCUAAAUUAAUCCAUAGGCGGUUGACCUAAUCAUGUAGCAAUAUUGUUUUGGUAAGAACGGAUGUCGAUCUCAAGGAGAAUGAGAUUACUGCUAAUUAAGUUAUGAACAAUAAAAUAAACAAGGGAUUUUUUCUAAGUUUAAUUAAACUUAAUAAAACAAACACAAAACUAGAGUGUAGUUACAGAGAUCAAGAUCUUUUCACAAAGAUUUCAAUCUCAUAGUCUCGUGGAUUCCAAUAAAGUGCAAUUAAUAUUAGUUAUUAUCUACGAAUUUACAGUGUAAUAGCUAUGUUGAUCAGAUUUAGUAAAUUCUACAAUUAUAAAGACAAUUAACACAAGUAUCAUGCAAUUAACUAUCUUAACAGUUAUAAUUAGGUGCGUAAUGUGUUUUGAAGUUUAAUAUCCAAUUAAUUUCCAAUAUAAAACAAAUUAAAUUAUCAUUUUUAUUAUUUAUUAUAUUUAUUUCAUAAAUUGUAUGCUCUUAUUUCAUAUUAAUGGAAAGAUAUAUAAAUAAUAGAUAAUAGUUGAAAAUAGUAAAGGGGUGGAUGUACCCGAGUGGAUCAAGGAUGUGGAUUUUGUAUCCCCCAUGCAUGUGCUCAGUUCAUGUCAUUCGCCCAAAUUUAUUUUUUUAAAUAAUUUAUUCGCUACUAGUGAAUUUUAUAGUUGAAGAUGUCACAGCUUUGUAGUUUUUAUGUUUUGUAAGACAAAGAAAGUAAUUAUAUUUUCCAUAUUAUUUACUACGAAAAAGAAAAAUCAAAUUAUCAAUAACUAUCCGCACAUGCAUCCUAAGUAAAUAAAUGUAUUUCUUCAUCAUUUAAGUUAAGCUUGUCAAAUAUGUGGGUGAUACGACUAAACAACUCAAAAGGAACAAACAUAAUCCAUCGUUCUCAUAAAGUAACACCAGAAUCUGAUGUUUUUAUUGGUAAUUCGGUACUCCUACAUUUAAAGAGGAACACAUUCACAUAAUUUCUCAAUACAAAUUGCAUGGGUAGGAGGUGUACACGGGAAGAAAUCACAUUCAUAUUGAUUUCUACAUGUUUCAACAAGACCUUUGUUGUCGAAAAUUGGGGUUGGAGUUUGGUUUCUACUAUCAACGUCGAAAUUUGUCUGCGAUUUUGCAAAUUGAACCAGUGAGCCUGCAAUAGCACAAAUACAUGUUUACAUUAUUGUCCAUUCUACCAAAGUUUAUGAAACAUAUAAGGAACAUCAUAAGCCUUAUUUGUGUGAUAUAUAUAUAUAUAUAUAUAUAUAUAGAGAGAGAGAGAGAGAGAAAGAGAGAGAGAGAGAGAGAGAGAGAGAGAAUAACCUAUAGUGAACACGAAUAUGAUGAAAAACAUAAUUUUGAACAAAACAUUCAUCUUAAUUCGUUUUGAGAUGGACUUAUGUUAUGAACUUU